GACGAACGCUGGCGGCGUGCUUAACACAUGCAAGUCGAACGGUAAGGCCCCUUCGGGGGGUACACGAGUGGCGAACGGGUGAGUAACACGUGAGCAACCUGCCCUUGACUUCGGAAUACCAGCUGGAAACAGCUGCUAAUACCGGAUAUGACUCCGACCGUCCUCGAUCGGGGUGGAAAGCUCCGGCGGUCAGGGAUGGGCUCGCGGCCUAUCAGCUUGUUGGUGAGGUAAUGGCNCACCAAGGCUUCGACGGGUAGCCGGCCUGAGAGGGCGACCGGCCACACUGGGACUGAGAUACGGCCCAGACUCCUACGGGAGGCAGCAGUGGGGAAUAUUGCACAAUGGGCGCAAGCCUGAUGCAGCAACG
rnacentral:rRNA from 1 species